UGGGGAAUAUUGCACAAUGGGCGCAAGCCUGAUGCAGCCAUGCCGCGUGUAUGAAGAAGGCCUUCGGGUUGUAAAGUACUUUCAGUCGGGAGGAAGGUGUCAAGGUUAAUAACCUUGGCAAUUGACGUUACCGACAGAAGAAGCACCGGCUAACUCCGUGCCAGCAGCCGCGGUAAUACGGAGGGUGCAAGCGUUAAUCGGAAUUACUGGGCGUAAAGCGCACGCAGGCGGUUUGUUAAGUCAGAUGUGAAAUCCCCGGGCUCAACCUGGGAACUGCAUCUGAUACUGGCAAGCUUGAGUCUCGUAGAGGGGGGUAGAAUUCCAGGUGUAGCGGUGAAAUGCGUGGAGAUCUGGAGGAAUACCGGUGGCGAAGGCGGCCCCCUGGACGAAGACUGACGCUCAGGUGCGAAAGCGUGGGGAGCAAACAGG
rnacentral:rRNA from 1 species